rnacentral:snRNA from 7 species
AGCUUUGCGCAGUGGCAGUAUCGUAGCCAAUGAGGUUUAUCCGAGGCGCAAUUAUUGCUAAUUGAAAACUUUUCCCUUCAUAGAA